AUAAUAAUAAUAAUAAUUUCAUAUGGGUCCCUGCAAAAAUAGUGAAUAACAAAUAUAUCCUUACAAAGUAUAAUUUUCAUAUGUUGUUUCUACAAAAGUACUAAUAUUUUUAAAUAUGUCGACCCUCUAAUUUAUCACCGUUAGAGAAUCAUAAAAGAAUCAUUUAUAUUUUCAAUUUUGCCGUUAUAAAUAUAUCUUUUCAAAAGUCAUAACAGGAGGGGCAAAAAUAUUAAAAACUAAUCAAAGCUAAGUAUUUAAUCUAUGGUUAACUAAAACUUUUUAACGAAUUUUAACAACAGGGAUAUAUUUAAAAAGAUUAAAACUUUUGUAGAAACAACGUAUAAAAGUUGAACUUUAUAGAAAUAUAUUUGUCAUUUAUUAUAUUUGGAGAGACACGUAGGAAAUUAACUCCAAAAAAAAAAUACUGCUUGGCGGUACAUGUUUAUAAGAGUAAAAUUGUUAUUUUAUAAAGAGUUGUCAGAGUUUAAUGGUUAAAUAUGGGGAAAACUCCAAAAAUCCUCCCGUGGUUUUGCACUUUUUUAUUUUAGUACCUUGUGAUUUAAAGUGUAUCAAGUUAGUAUUCUAUGAUUUACAGUGUAUUAAGUUAGUAGUCUGUGGUGUUAUUUUUGUAUCAAGUUAGUAUCUUGUUGUUUUACUUUUGUAUCAAGUUAUAUCCUAUAAUUUUUAAAUCACAGGAUACUAAAAUGAUAAAGUGCGAAACCACAGGGUAUCAAAGUGAUAAAGUGCGAAACCACAGGGUACUAACUUAAUACACUUUAAACCACAAGGUACUAAAGUGAAAAAGUGCAAAACCACAGAGUACUAACUUGAUAUACUUUAAACCGCAGGGUACUAAAGAGAGAAAAAAUGAAACCAUAAGGGGGGUAUUUGAAGUUUUUUCUUAAAUAUAUGUAUUGAGUUUAUGUGCAAAGUAUUAAAGUUGAGAAAGAUAUAUAUGUGAAAAUAUAAAGGGAUCAAU
rnacentral:lncRNA from 1 species